UCCAGUUGAUCCUGCUGGAGGGUACUGCUAUCGGAGUUCGACUAAGCCAUGCAAGUCUAACCCUAGGACUUCCUGGGGUGGCAGACUGCUGAGUAACACGUAGUCAAUCUACCCUAUAGACGGGGAUAACCUCGAGAAAUUGAGGACAAUACCCGAUAUUCCAUCUAUGCUGGAAUGCUUGAUGGUUUAAAUGGGCGGUGAAUUGGAGCCGUUCCGCUGUAGGACGAGACUGCGGGGGAUUAUGGUUGUUGGUAGGGUAAUGGCUUACCAAGCCGAUAAUCUCUAGGGGCCAUGAGAGUGGUGGCCCCCAGAAGGACACUGAGACAAGGGUCCUAGCCCUACGGGGUGCAGCAGGCGCGAAAUCUCUACAAUGCUGGAAACAGUGAUAGGGGGACUCCGAGUGGCGUCGGCUAUGCUGGCGUCUUUUGCCAAGUGUAGAUAGCUUGGAGAAUAAGGGUGUGGGCAAGACUGGUGGCAGCCGCCGCGGUAACACCAGCGCCCCAAGUGGUACCCACGAAUACUGGGCCUAGAGCGUUCGUAGCCGGUCAGGUAAGUCUUCUGUGAAAUAGUGUGGCUUAACCACACUGCGCGCAGGAGAUACUGCUUGGCUUGGGAACGGGGGAGGUCAGGAGUACGCCCGGGGUAGGGGUAAAAUCCUUUGAGCCUGGGCGGACUACCAGUGGCGAAGGCGCCUGACCAAAACGUGUCCGACGGUGAGGAACGAAAGCUGGGGGAGCGAACGGGAUUAGAUACCCCGGUAGUCCCAGCCGUAAAUGAUGCAGACUGUGGUGUUGCUUCAGAGUUAAUCUGCAGCAGUGCUGUAGCGUAGGUGUUAAGUCUGCCGCCUGGGGAGUACGGCCGCAAGGUUGAAACUUAAAGGAAUUGGCGGGGGAGCACCACAAGGGGUGGAUGCUACGGUUUAAUUGGAUACAACGCCGUGAACUUCACCAAGGGCGACGGCAGAAUGAAGGCCAGACUAAAGAUCUUGCCUAACAAGCCGAGAGGUGUUGCAUGGCCAUCGUCAGCUCGUGGCGUGAGUUGUCAGGUUAAGUCCUGCAACGAGCGAGACCCAUACCAUUAAUUGCUACUUUCAUCUUUAAUGAGAGGCACCUUAAUGGGACUGCCCGCGUUAAGUGGGAGGAAGGAGUGGGCGACGGUAGGUCAGUAUGGCCCGAAUCCCUUGGGCUACACGCGGCAUACAAUGGCUGGAACAAUGGGUUGCUACUCCGAGAGGAGGCGCUAAUCCCCUAAAUCCAGUCUCAGUUCGGAUUGAGGGUUGAAACUCACCCUCAUGAAGCUGGAAUCCCUAGUAAUCGCGUGUCAUCAUCGCGCGGUGAAUACGUCCCCGCUCCUUGCACACACCGCCCGUCAAGUCACCCAAAUGUGGUGUAGGUGAGGCUCCGGUUUCUGCCGGAUUCGAACCUAUGUUGCGUGAGGGGGGCUAAGUCGUAACAAGGUA
rnacentral:rRNA from 1 species